GUUGCGAUCCCAUCAGGGAUGAUCAGCGAC
rnacentral:other from 1 species